AUGCAAAAGCACAAGAACACACACAUGCAGGCAUGCACGCACAGAGGCAUGCAAAUGGAGGCGUGUACACACAUACAUGCAAGCACGUACAGCUGCAGACAUAUCCAAGAGCAUGGUAUGGCUCCAAGUACACGUACACAUGCAAGCACACACGGCUGCAAGCAUGCGUGGCUGCAAGCACAUGCAAACAAGCAUGGUAUGGCUCUGAAUACACACAUGCCUGCAAGCACACGUGCAUGCCUGCAAGCACACACAUGCAGACACACAGGUAUGGCUGCAAACACAUGCAUGCAUGCAAAUACACAUGCAUGCCUGCAAGCACACACAUGCAAACACGCAGGUAUGGCUGCAGUCACACGCAUGCACACAAGCACCUACAAACGCACAGCCACAUGCAAGCACUGCUGCAAGCACACACAUUCUGGCAUGCACCACCACAAGCACACCCCCCCCAUACAACCCACUCAGCGGUGCAAGCACACAGACACAACCACGCAGCGCAACAAGCAUGCACCGCUGCAUGCACGCGCGGCGAGGCGGCGGCGAGCACACGCCCACAUGCAAGCACCGGGCGCUGCAACCACGCGUGCAUGCAAGCAGCAUGCACGUGCAGCGGGCACGCGCGCGUGCAAGGCAUGCACGGCUGCACGGCAUGCAGGGCUGCAAGGCAUGCACGCGCGCGCACCGCCCCCAGCGCGCGCCGUGUGGAGAAGGCGGGAGAGGGGGGCGCGGGGGGGGGGGGGGGGGGGGGGAGUGGGGGGCGCCGCGCGCGCGCUGCCUGAGGGGGCCCGGCCGGGCGCUGAGGGGAGCCGGGAACCGGGCCCACCCCCACCCCUCCCCCCCGUGACUUACCGGGGGCUGGGGAAGGAGCCGGGGGCUGGGGGCCGCCGCCGCCUCCUCCUCCUCCUCCUGAGCUCAGAGGCGGGGGCGCGGCCGCGGCGGAGGGGAGGGGAGGGGGGGGGGGAGGGGAGGAGGGAGGGGGGGGGGAGGGGGGGACGCGGCGGCGGCGGCGGCGGCGGCAGCGGCGGCGGCUCCGGGGCCGCCAGGCGGGGGAAGGCGGGAGGGCGCAUGCGCGGUGCGGGCCAAAGGCUGCACAAUGCCGCUCUCUCCCGGGAGCGCUACGGAGGGGCCCGAGGGCCAAAAAGGGGCGGGGAGCGCCUUAAAGGGACAGGCGCCGCCUUCCCUAAGGGGGGGGGAGGAAUUCAGCGCUCACCCCCACAGUGA
rnacentral:lncRNA from 1 species